AAUACCUUCAUUCCCUAAUGAAGAUCUAAAGAAGACGACUGCAAUCUUUACCACCAUCAUUGUUGAGAUCUACAAAACAUGGUUGUACUCUUCUCUGUUACCCUCAAUGGUCUCCAUCACGUGAGUGGACGUGUAGAGAACCAUAAUUUUGUGUAGGAGAUGGAAGCCCUAGAACUAUAUUUUUCUUGUUUAAGAAAAUCCAUAUGUUAAAGUCUAUUAUUCUAUUCUAAUUUCAUCUCUUUUAUAUAAGCACUUAUUAGAGUCAAGUUUGACUAGGAAUUAAGCUAGUAGAGGGGCCGCAGACUCAUGGACUUUCUAGCAUCAACUUAAUAGCCAAAGCCCAAUCAUUUCAUGACUAAUAGACUUUAACCUAGGGUAUUGCACUAAAAGCCCAAAGUUGCACUCUAAUAACCCGUGUAAUUAAAUAAAAGCCAAAUUAAUUAAAACUUCUUUUAAUUAAUUUUAGCCUUGGUCUUAGAGCAAUAAUAACCACUUAAUUAACCAUCUAUCUGAUGCUCAUAAUUAAACCUAGGCCUUUGAUGAAUGCCGUGCCUCUAUUAGUUACGUAUUUACACCUAAGUCACUAUUUGUUCUAAUGAUUAUUUUUAAUAUAUCUAUAUUUUUAGAAAAAUUUACAAAUAAAUAUCAUUAUUUAAUAAACAAUUUAUUGAAUUAACUACAACCACAAAUUUAAAUGAUCAAGUAUCACAAAAUAGCUUAGGUAAGCAUCAAUAGUAUAGAUUCCAUCUUGUAAGGAUAUGUUUCUACUAUCCAUGAAAUUACAUCUCCAAGUUAUUGAGCUUUUGACCAUUUAUAUAGGUCUCACUUGUUGAUAACUCAAAAGAUAUAAUAGAUGAAUGCAAGUUCAUUACUCACUCACGAAUAAGGUCAAUUGAGCUUAUUAAAGCUUAUGUGAAUUAUGAUCUAUGACAUUUGUUAAACUAGAUCAUAAUUCACUAUAAUCCAGUUCAAUAUGCAAAUCACAUACAUAUACAUAUUAACUAUUCUACUCGAAGUCUCAUUUUUAGUGAUUAAGAUAAAAUCACUCACGAUAGAAGUAGAAAAAUUACAACCUUACAUAAUGAAAUGCCCAUUUCAUUAAUAGUUGUGCACAAUCUUUUAUUUAUAAAAAAACCUGUGAUUUAUAUCUUCUAGUAUUAAUGUCAUACGCCCAAUAUAUAAAUCACAUACUUUAUAAGGGCUAAUAAUAUAUGCUCAAAUAAUAAAUAAAUAAAUUUUAUGAAUUUAAAAAUUGUGAUUUAUCGCAUGCCUUUAAUUAGGGUACAAAAUAACAAUAAGUCUAACAGGAGAUUCAUAAACAAUCUCACUCCAGAACAAUCAUAAUUAUUAUCGACUUAUUAGUCUUGCUUUUGGUUAUGUGUCAAUCGUUGCAGGUAAGUUGUUAUGCAUAUAUAUUCUUGAAAUCCAUGUGCUUAAUUUAAGAGUUACCUAUAUUCUUGAAACGACUUGCGACAAAUGCCGAGAGUAGACUUAAAAUUUUAAAACAAAUCUCAAUAGAUUUGGUUUCUAGUAAUAUCUAGCCAUUUUGAUUUUUCAACAAUCUUAAUGAUUGUUGGUGGUCGUUGUUACGUUAAAUCCAGACCUGUAUAACAGAUUUUUUAAAACAAUAUCCAUUAAUAUUAUACAGCUUACGACCAAAACGUAGAACAAAAAACGAUAGACAUAUAUAUAUAUAUAAACAAGUUCUUGUUACUUCAAAAAUUUUGAAACAAAAAAAAAAAAGUAAACAUAUAUUUAAUCAAGAUUUUUUCUUUAUAUAAACUUCUUCCGAUUAAAAUUCACGAGUCUGAUAGCGAUAGGUCAUUGGUAGAUGAACGGUAUAAAAAUAGUUAAAUUUAAAUUAAUUUGCCAUCACGAUUAAUAGAUACAAGACAUAAAAUCUUUAAAAUCCAGGAUCUUCGUCUCGUACGUGUUAUUCCAGUUACUGCCAACAAUUUUCUAAAUUGAAGUGCUUGGCAUUGGUCCCUACAAGAAAUACGAAUUUAAAAGACCAUUUCUCUGGAACAUUUCCGAAUUUAGUCAUGAAAGUCACCCUGGAUACCACAAAUACACUUUAUUUAUUACAAUCACCAUCAUGUUGGCAAUUAAUUUUAAUAAAUGUGCAUGUCGAUAAGUCAUUAAGAUACAGUUAAGGGGUACAN
rnacentral:lncRNA from 1 species